GCUCUGCACUUUCCAAAUGGCGGUGCAGGCCGAUCACUAUUUAGGGUGGUCAGCUUGGUUGUCCUGCUUCGGCGAACACACAUCUGGGUUUGGUAGAACGCAGAGUACCCACGAGCGAAAUGCGGAGCCAAC
rnacentral:ncRNA from 1 species